rnacentral:lncRNA from 1 species
ACGGCUUAGUUUCCCUAUUUCUGCCCAUUCUUCAAUGGAUCCUCUCAAAAAGGUUCAAUGGAAUAUCUUAUCGUUGAGUUUGGUGUUGAAGCUGUGAAAGUCAGUGAUCCCAUUGAGGCAAAGUUAUAAAUUAUUGAAAUAUUAUCCUUGUUAAAUUUUUCACAUUCGGUUGCUGUUGUUGAGAGAUCUUGUACAUAUUGUGUUUGAGCCAUGGGCUAUUUAUUGUGGAAAUACUAUUAUUGUUGACUUCUUUGGCAAGUUAUGAUAUUGUGCACUUGAGAUGCGAUUUGUGAUAUUGAUACGCAUGCGAUGAUAUAAGGAUAGAGGUUGAAACACACGCGGUGAGAUAAGGUGGGCUUGAUACGCGUGUUGCUAGUAGGGGAACUACUUGAAGCCACGCGGUGUGAUAAGGUAGGCUAAAAUACGAGAAGCUAUUUUGGAAAAAUAAUUAUUAAAAUUAAAUGCAAGGCUCCCGCGGUUGUAUAAGGAAAGAUUGUGAUUUAAUUUGUGAAACGAGACUAUGAGACGGUACAUCGGUAGCGAUUCUUGUUGCUAUCUUUAAUUGUCUUAAUUUCAGUGUAGCUAUCCUUGUUAUUUUUCUUCAUUGUAUCAUUUCCAUUAUUAUACUGUACUAUGCCUGUUCAGUUUCUUUAUUUAUUCCAGUAGGUGUCUUGACCUGACCUCGUCACUACUCUACCGAGUUUAGGCUUGAUACUUACUGGGUACCGUUGUGGUUUGCUCAUACUAUACUUCUGCAUAUCUUUUCGUGUAGAUCCAGGUACUUCAUACCAGCCUAGACAUCCGUGAGUUGAGCUUGGAUCAGAGACUUUAAGGUAUAUCUGUCGGCGUUCGUCGGCCUUGGAGUCAUCCUCUAUCUAGUUUCUACUUCGUUCUCUUUUUAUAGAUAUUGUUGUAUAGGGAUGCUCAAUAUACUCGUGUAGAGCUUGUGACUCGGUCUCACCAGAUUUUGGGUGUUGUAUUCAAUUGUAUUGUGGAGUCCUUUUUAUGAUAGUUGUUGGUUUAAUUGGGAGUUUUAUUAUUAUUUUCGUUUAUU